UUUCCUCAGGACGAACGCUGGCGGCGUGCUUAACACAUGCAAGUCGAACGAUGAACCACUUCGGUGGGGAUUAGUGGCGAACGGGUGAGUAACACGUGGGCAAUCUGCCCUGCACUCUGGGACAAGCCCUGGAAACGGGGUCUAAUACCGGAUACUGAUCCUCGCAGGCAUCUGCGAGGUUCGAAAGCUCCGGCGGUGCAGGAUGAGCCCGCGGCCUAUCAGCUAGUUGGUGAGGUAACGGCUCACCAAGGCGACGACGGGUAGCCGGCCUGAGAGGGCGACCGGCCACACUGGGACUGAGACACGGCCCAGACUCCUACGGGAGGCAGCAGUGGGGAAUAUUGCACAAUGGGCGAAAGCCUGAUGCAGCGACGCCGCGUGAGGGAUGACGGCCUUCGGGUUGUAAACCUCUUUCAGCAGGGAAGAAGCGAAAGUGACGGUACCUGCAGAAGAAGCGCCGGCUAACUACGUGCCAGCAGCCGCGGUAAUACGUAGGGCGCAAGCGUUGUCCGGAAUUAUUGGGCGUAAAGAGCUCGUAGGCGGCUUGUCACGUCGGUUGUGAAAGCCCGGGGCUUAACCCCGGGUCUGCAGUCGAUACGGGCAGGCUAGAGUUCGGUAGGGGAGAUCGGAAUUCCUGGUGUAGCGGUGAAAUGCGCAGAUAUCAGGAGGAACACCGGUGGCGAAGGCGGAUCUCUGGGCCGAUACUGACGCUGAGGAGCGAAAGCGUGGGGAGCGAACAGGAUUAGAUAC
rnacentral:rRNA from 1 species